GAAACUGGACAGCCUGGUCUUCCUGGGUCCGUUGGAACUCCUGGACUACAAGGACCCCCAGGACCAGUUGGCCCCAGAGGAGAGCCAGGAGAAGCUGGUUUACCAGGAAACCAUGGAACCCCUGGAAACCCAGGGAUUAAAGGAGAAAAGGGAGAAACUGGUGGAAUUAUAGGUCCUCCGGGACCUCCGGGUUCUAAAGGUGACACUGGGCCUCCAGGA